CUGAGUUACCGCUCAUCAACCCUUUGUGAACAUACCUUAACUGUUGCUCCGGCGGGUAGGCGUCCCCUAAAAAGGACGCCUCCCGGCCCUCUCCCGUCCGCGGGUGGGGCGCCCGCCGGAGGAUAACCAAACUCUGAUUUAACGACGUUUCUUCUGAGUGACACAAGCAAAUAAUCA
rnacentral:misc_RNA from 1 species